rnacentral:snRNA from 1 species
GAGUGAUCUGGCUGCCGUAUCUUUCCCUUUGUUGAUUGCUGGGGUUGAUUUGGCUGAUCUGACUGGCAAGACUACUGUUGACUUCCUCUCCUGAAGUUGUGGGUGGGUUGAAGAGAACGACUUUCCCUGAAUGGAGGAGGGCCAGCCUUCAGUCAGGUGUAUAUGAGUAGCUGCAGUCCCCUGCAGAACCUCCAGUCAUGCUCUCACAUUCAUUAUCUUGGGGAUUGGGAUUUCAAUAUAAAAUUUGGAGGGGAAACAAACAUUU